rnacentral:rRNA from 1 species
ACGCUGGCGGCACGCCUUAUACAUGCAAGUCGAACGAAGUAGCAAUACUUAGUGGCAGACGGGUGAGUAACAUGUAGGUAUCUUCCCUUUGGUGAGGAAUAACACGAGGAAACUUGUGCUAAUACCUCAUAAGUCUUUACGGAGAAAGCUUUAUGCGCCGAAGGAUGAGCCUGCACUUGAUUAGUUUGUUGGUGGGGUAAUGGCCUACCAAGACUUUGAUCUAUAGCUGAUCUGAGAGGAUGAUCAGCCACAUUGGGACUGAGACACGGCCCAAACUCCUACGGGAGGCAGCAGUAGGGAAUAUUGCACAAUGGAGGAAACUCUGAUGCAGCGAUGCCGCGUGAGUGAAGAAGGCCUUUGGGUUGUAAAGCUCUUUCGUCGGGGAAGAAAAUGACUGUACCCGAAUAAGAAGGUCCGGCUAACUUCGUGCCAGCAGCCGCGGUAAUACGAAGGGACCUAGCGUAGUUCGGAAUUACUGGGCUUAAAGAGUUCGUAGGUGGUUAAAAAAGUUGGUGGUGAAAUCCCAGAGCUUAACUCUGGAACUGCCAUCAAAACUUUUUAGCUAGAGUAUGAUAGAGGAAAGCAGAAUUUCUAGUGUAGAGGUGAAAUUCGUAGAUAUUAGAAAGAAUACCAAUUGCGAAGGCAGCUUUCUGGAUCAUUACUGACGCUGAGGAACGAAAGCAUGGGUAGCGAAGAGGAUUAGAUACCCUCGUAGUCCAUGCCGUAAACGAUGUGUGUUAGACGUUGGAAAUUUAUUUUCAGUGUCGCAGCGAAAGCAUUAAACACACCGCCUGGGGAGUACGACCGCAAGUAACUCAAUGAUGACGUC